AAAUUCCUUGUCGGGUAAGUUCCGACCUGCACGAAUGGCGUAACGAUGGCGGCGCUGUCUCCACCCGAGACUCAGUGAAAUUGAAAUCGCUGUGAAGAUGCAGUGUAUCCGCGGCUAGACGGAAAGACCCCGUGAACCUUUACUAUAGCUUUGCACUGGACUUUGAAUUUGCUUGUGUAGGAUAGGUGGGAGGCUUUGAAGUGGGGACGCCAGUUCUCAUGGAGCCAUCCUUGAAAUACCACCCUGGCAACUUUGAGGUUCUAACUCAGGUCCGUUAUCCGGAUCGAGGACAGUGUAUGGUGGGUAGUUUGACUGGGGCGGUCUCCUCCCAAAGAGUAACGGAGGAGUACGAAGGUGCGCUCAGACCGGUCGGAAAUCGGUCGUAGAGUAUAAAGGCAAAAGCGCGCUUGACUGCGAGACACACACGUCGAGCAGGUACGAAAGUAGGUCUUAGUGAUCCGGUGGUUCUGUAUGGAAGGGCCAUCGCUCAACGGAUAAAAGGUACUCCGGGGAUAACAGGCUGAUACCGCCCAAGAGUUCAUAUCGACGGCGGUGUUUGGCACCUCGAUGUCGGCUCAUCACAUCCUGGGGCUGAAGCCGGUCCCAAGGGUAUGGCUGUUCGCCAUUUAAAGUGGUACGCGAGCUGGGUUUAGAACGUCGUGAGACAGUUCGGUCCCUAUCUGCCGUGGACGUUUGAGAUUUGAGAGGGGCUGCUCCUAGUACGAGAGGACCGGAGUGGACGAACCUCUGGUGUUCCGGUUGUCACGCCAGUGGCAUUGCCGGGUAGCUAUGUUCGGAAGAGAUAACCGCUGAAAGCAUCUAAGCGGGAAACUUGCCUCAAGAUGAGAUCUCACUGGGAUCUUGAAUCCCCUAAAGGGCCGUCGAAGACUACGACGUUGAUAGGUUGGGUGUGUAAGCGCUGUGAGGCGUUGAGCUAACCAAUACUAAUUGCCCGUGAGGCUUGACCAUAUAACACCCAAGCAAUU
rnacentral:rRNA from 1 species